rnacentral:rRNA from 1 species
UUUCCUUUAGAUAGAAAUUAAAGGUAAGCCCUGCCCAGUGUAGCCACAAGCUAUAAACGGCGGCGUUAACGUGAGCGUCCUAAGGUAGCGCGAUAAGUUGCCCUUUAAUUGAGGGAUGGUAUGAACGGGUUAACGAAAAAAAGCUGUCUCAGAAAAGAAAAUUUAAAUUAACUUUAAGGUGAAGAGGCCUUAAUAAAAAAGAAGGACAACAAGACCCUACGAAGCUUAUUCUUUGUAGUGCUGUAAUCUUUAAGCAUUGUUAGAAUUUGAUGGGAAAUCGACAAAAAAACGUCUUUUGUUUUCAACUUUUGCUCACAAGCAAGACCUAUGGUAAUAUAGAUGAUUAGCUACUCUAGGGAUAACAGCACAAUAUUUUCCAAAAGAUGUAAUUAAAGAAAAGGUUUGUGACCUCGAUGUUGGCUUUAGAUGUCCCAGAGGUGCAGAAGCUUCUAAAGGUAGGUCUGUUCGACCUUUAAUAUCUA